UACGUAGGGUGCGAGCGUUGUUCGGAUUCAUUGGGCGUAAAGGGUGCGUAGGCGGCGCGGUAAGUCGGGUGUGAAAUCUUGGAGCUUAACUCCGAAACUGCAUUCGAUACUGCCGUGCUUGAGGACUGGAGAGGAGACUGGAAUUUACGGUGUAGCGGUGAAAUGCGUAGAUAAUCGUAAGGAAGACCAGUGGCGAAGGCGGGUCUCUGGACAGUUCCUGACGCUGAGGCACGAAGGCCAGGGGAGCAAACGGG
rnacentral:rRNA from 1 species